ACCCCCCCGGCCGCGCCAUCCCGCGCCUCCCCGCUCGGCGCCCGUGCGUCCCCGCCGCGCUCCGGCGUCUCCUCGGCGCGCCCGGCUCCCGGCUGUCCCCGCCCGGCGUGCGGGCCGGUGUAUGGGCCCCUCACCAUGUCGCUGAAGCCCCAGCAACAGCAGCAGCAGCAGCAGCAGCCGCCCGCGGCCGCCAGUGCCCGUAAACCCGGCGGCAGCGGCGGCCUUCUCACGUCGCCUGCCGCCGCGCCGUCGCCGUCCUCCGUCUCAUCGUCCUCGGCCGUGGCUUCCUCCUCCUCGGCGGCGGCGGCGAGCGCAGGCGGCGGGCGACCCGGCCUGGGCAGAGGUCGAAACAGCAAAGGACUGCCUCAAUCCACGAUUUCUUUUGAUGGAAUUUAUGCAAAUAUGAGGAUGGUUCAUAUACUUACGUCAGUUGUUGGAUCCAAAUGUGAAGUACAAGUGAAAAACGGAGGUAUAUAUGAAGGAGUUUUUAAAACAUACAGUCCUAAGUGUGAUUUGGUACUUGAUGCUGCACAUGAGAAAACUAUGGAAUCCAGUUCGGGGCCAAAACGUGAAGAAAUAAUGGAGAGUAUUUUGUUCAAGUGUUCAGACUUUGUUGUGGUACAGUUUAAAGAUAUGGACUCCAGUUAUGCAAGAAGAGAUGCUUUUACUGAUUCUGCUAUCAGUGCUAAAGUGAAUGGUGAACACAAAGAGAAGGACCUGGAGCCCUGGGAUGCAGGUGAACUCACUACCAGUGAGGAACUGGAGGCUUUGGAAAAUGAUGUAUCUAAUGGAUGGGAUCCCAAUGAUAUGUUUCGAUAUAAUGAAGAAAAUUAUGGUGUAGUGUCUACAUACGAUAGCAGUUUAUCUUCAUAUACGGUACCCUUAGAAAGGGAUAACUCAGAAGAAUUUUUAAAACGAGAAGCAAGGGCAAACCAGUUAGCAGAAGAAAUUGAAUCAAGUGCCCAGUACAAAGCCCGGGUGGCCCUGGAAAAUGAUGAUAGGAGUGAAGAAGAAAAAUACACAGCCGUUCAGAGAAAUUCCAGUGAACGUGAGGGCCACAGCAUAAACACUAGGGAAAAUAAAUAUAUUCCUCCUGGACAAAGAAAUAGAGAAGUCAUAUCCUGGGGAAGUGGGAGACAGAAUUCACCGCGUAUGGGCCAGCCUGGAUCGGGCUCCAUGCCAUCAAGAUCCACCUCUCACACUUCAGAUUUCAACCCGAAUUCUGGUUCAGACCAAAGAGUAGUUAAUGGAGUUUUUAUACUUUCCUUCAUAUCAUUUGUUCUGUCAGGUGUUCCCUGGCCAUCGCCUUGCCCAUCUCCUUCCUCUCGCCCACCUUCUCGCUACCAGUCAGGUCCCAACUCUCUUCCACCUCGGGCAGCCACCCCUACACGGCCGCCCUCCAGGCCCCCCUCGCGGCCAUCCAGACCCCCGUCUCACCCCUCUGCUCAUGGUUCUCCAGCUCCUGUCUCUACUAUGCCUAAACGCAUGUCUUCAGAAGGGCCUCCAAGGAUGUCCCCAAAGGCCCAGCGACACCCUCGAAAUCACAGAGUUUCUGCUGGGAGGGGUUCCAUUUCCAGUGGCCUAGAAUUUGUGUCCCAUACCCCACCAAGUGAAGCAGCUGCUCCUCCAGCAGCAAGAACUAGUCCUGCGGGGGGCACAUGGUCAUCAGUGGUCAGCGGGGUUCCAAGAUUAUCCCCUAAAACUCACAGACCCAGGUCUCCCAGACAGAACAGUAUUGGAAAUACUCCUGGUGGACCAGUUCUUGCUUCUCCUCAGGCCGGUAUUAUUCCAGCUGAAGCUGUUGCUAUGCCUGUUCCAGCUGCAUCUCCUACGCCUGCCAGUCCUGCAUCCAACAGAGCUGUUACCCCAUCUAUUGAGGCUAAGGAUUCCAGGCUUCAAGAUCAGAGGCAGAACUCUCCUGCAGGAAAUAAAGAAAAUAUGAAGCCCAGUGAGACAUCACCUAGCUUCUCAAAGACUGAAAAUAAAGGUAUAUCACCAAUUGUUUCUGAACAUAGAAAGCAAAUUGAUGACUUAAAGAAGUUUAAGAAUGAUUUUAGGUUACAGCCAAGUUCUACUUCUGAAUCUAUGGAUCAACUGCUAAACAAAAAUAGAGAGGGAGAAAAAUCAAGAGAUUUGAUCAAAGACAAAAUUGAACCAAAUGCUAAGGAUUCUUUCAUUGAAAAUAGCAGCAGCAAUUGCACCAGUGGCAGCAGCAAACCGAACAGUCCCAGCAUUUCCCCUUCAAUCCUCAGUAACACGGAGCACAAGAGGGGACCUGAGGUCACAUCCCAAGGGGUUCAGACGUCCAGUCCAGGAUGUAAACAAGAGAAAGAUGAUAAAGAGGAGAAGAAAGAUGCAGCUGAGCAAGUGAGAAAAUCAACUUUGAAUCCUAAUGCAAAGGAGUUCAACCCUCGCUCCUUUUCUCAGCCAAAGCCUUCUACCACCCCAACUUCACCUCGUCCUCAGGCACAACCUAGCCCAUCUAUGGUGGGUCAUCAGCAGCCAGCUCCGGUGUAUACUCAGCCUGUCUGUUUUGCACCAAAUAUGAUGUAUCCGGUCCCAGUGAGCCCGGGCGUGCAACCUUUAUACCCUAUACCUAUGACGCCCAUGCCAGUGAAUCAAGCCAAGACAUAUAGAGCAGGUAAAGUACCAAAUAUGCCCCAACAGCGGCAAGACCAGCAUCAUCAGAGCACCAUGAUGCACCCAGCCUCAGCAGCGGGCCCCCCAAUUGUAGCCACCCCACCAGCUUAUUCCACACAAUAUGUUGCCUAUAGUCCUCAGCAGUUUCCAAAUCAGCCUCUUGUUCAGCAUGUGCCACAUUAUCAGUCUCAGCAUCCUCAUGUCUAUAGUCCUGUGAUACAGGGUAAUGCUAGAAUGAUGGCACCGCCGGCACAUGCCCAACCUGGUUUAGUGUCUUCUUCAGCAACUCAGUACGGGGCUCAUGAGCAGACGCAUGCGAUGUAUGCAUGUCCCAAAUUACCAUACAACAAGGAGACAAGCCCUUCUUUCUACUUUGCCAUUUCCACUGGCUCCCUUGCUCAGCAGUAUGCGCACCCGAAUGCUACCCUGCACCCACAUACUCCACAUCCUCAACCUUCAGCUACCCCCACUGGCCAGCAGCAGAGCCAGCAUGGCGGAAGUCAUCCUGCACCCAGUCCUGUUCAGCACCAUCAGCACCAGGCCGCCCAGGCUCUCCAUUUGGCCAGUCCACAGCAGCAGUCAGCCAUUUACCACGCGGGGCUCGCACCAACCCCACCUGCCAUGACCCCUGCCUCCAAUACGCAGUCGCCACAGAAUAGUUUCCCAACAGCACAACAGACCGUCUUUACAAUCCAUCCUUCUCACGUUCAGCCGGCAUACACCAAUCCUCCCCACAUGGCCCACGUACCUCAGUUCUGGUUCAAGGUAUCUCUAGAAAAAGACAAGACUGAGACAUUCUCUUUGGUGGAUAAAGGUCCGCUCCAGAAGGAGGAAGGCUGGCCAGAGCUGGGCAGCACUGAGAAUCCCACAUCCUCAGCCUGACGCUGGUUCUAAAUGAUCAAAGGCAGAAGAUUUAUACCAGAUAAAGCCAUAUGGAUUGCUGGUCUAAAAUUCAAGGCAGCAGGGUGACAAGUCACCCCACCUGGCACCAUCCAGGACAGAGCUUUACAGGGGCAGGAACGGAGGGAGCUAGUGCCCCCCACCCUUACUGGCCCGGCCGCAUGCUAACGCCUCCCAGGCUUUCUGCCCUGCACCCCUGUACUCAAGCUGCGCCCUCCCCGCAGUGCACCCAUUCCUGGCCAAAACCUUUGGCUCUCGGGGUGGCAGAUUAGGAGCAACAACUGUCUGGACCCUGGAGCUGAGCCGCUGUGAAGAGUCAGCGGAUGUCACAGGCAGUUCAGCAAACCACCUUCAAUCAUUUAACCUAUGUCCGCCUGGCUGGCCGGGAACAUUCUUGCGGACGGAAGUGGCCUCUUAGUCUGGGAGUGCUCGGCAGGCACCCAGCAAGCCCAGAGAUGGUCCUGAGUGAGUGGGGUCAGGACGCAGCCAGAACCACCCCACACCCCCGCCCACCCCGUCGCCCGCUGCAAGCCCGCUGCCACCAGCCCACACCUUGAGCGACCACAUCCUGCCACCCGGAGUCCCCACUGGGAAUUGUCCCUGCCCGCACAUGGCCGCAGAGCCCCAAGGCCCAUGCAUCCCCCCCCUUGCCCCAGGCUACAUGGUCAAGACAGAAGGGGAAGCUGUGGCUCAGAGGCCACACCGCGUGUCCAGGUGUGCCCAAGCGUCAAAGCAGGCACUGCCCGCCUGGGCCUUCCCGCCACACGGGAGGGUGCGCUAGGUGGACUUGGACAUCCGCCCCCUCCCCCCGAACACUGAUGGGCCACCGGAGUCUGCAGGUGAGCACCGUGCGUGUCCCUGGGCCCCAGGGGCUUGGAUGAGGUACCCACUAGGGGCCCUGCUGUGAAGCCAGAGCGGCCAGGGCGGCCCCUCAUCCCAACAGCGCAGGCUUCAGCUGCGGCCGCCGUGCCGGCUGAGGGUGGAAAACGCUGUGGUUGAGAACUAACAGCCUCUGUCGGCAGCCGAGAGGGGGCUCGUCACUACCGGGACCCACUGCCUGCCUUCGAAGAAUGCUGAUUCAGAAGAGGUGGAAGCGACGGUCUCUGGGGUGUGGCGGGGGGCUGCAGGGGUGCCAGGAAGGACGGAGACACGGCGAGAGCAAGACGCUGGCCGGGGCACAGCCACCACAGGGCACCGGGGUCUCCCGCCCUUCCGAGCUCAGCCGGCCGACUUGCUGUCCUUGCCCUGAGCCCGCGUUCAGUGAGCGCUCACCAGGUGAUGCGCCUUCAGAUACAGCAUCUCACGGACAUCAGAAAACAACAGGAAAUCACACCAGCCAUAGAGAAUAAAAACCGGAUGGAUUAAAUAAUUAGAAGUGAAAAAUAAAACCAAGACAAAAGUGGAAUAGAACCUAAGUGAUUAUCUGAUCCUGGUGGGUGGGGCCUGAAGCAGAAAAAGCAAACAACAAAACCGUAAAGGAAAAGAUCACUGUAUUUUAUUGCCCAGACUUAAAAACCUCCAGAGAUGAAGAACCUCAUGAUAGAAACUGAAAAGUCAAAUGGUGAACUAGGGCAAUAUUAGCAACAUGUGACAGAGAGCUAAUAUCCAUGUAAAGAGCUCUUGCAAAUCAACAAGAAAAAAAGACAGUGCUAUAAAUGGCCUGUAAGUCACAAAAAUGUGUAUGACCAAGAAAUGGAAGAGAAAAGGCCCAAAUCCAUAGGGACAGAAAGUAGACUAGUGGUUGCCAGGGGCUGGGGAGGCAGGUGGGGACAGGAAUUGGGACUGACUGCUAAUAGGUACAGAGUUUCUUCCUGGGGUGAUGGAAAUGUUCUGGAAUUAGUAGUGAUGGUUGUGCACACAGUGAAUAUACUAAAAGCCAAUGAACUGCAUUUCCCCGUGGUGAAAUGUUACAUCAUGUGAAUUACAAAUACUCAAUGGUUUUUAAAGAGAGAAAUGGUCAGUCCCACUGCAAUCAGAAAGGGCAAGAUAACCACUCCAUCUAGAAGUUGGCAGAGGUUUUUAAAAUAAUACCCAGUGCUGGCACCUCUGGUGAUAAGAUAAGUAGGUAUAACCUUUCUGGAAGGCUGUUUGUAAAGGAUCUACCAGAAGCAUUAGAAAUGGCUAGUUAAGCACAUGAGAAAAAUGCUCAGCAUCAUUAGCCAUCAGGGACAUGCAGAUCAAAACCAUAUGAGAUAGCUCUUCACACCCACUAGGAUGAUUACAAUCAAAAAGAUAGAUAAGAGUUGGCGAGGAUGUGGAGAAGUUGGAGCCCUCACACGCUGCUGGUAGGAACGUAAAACGGUGCAGCUGCCGCAGAAAACAGUCUGGCAAUAAAAUGUUAAAUUGAGAACUACCAUAUAACCCCGCGGCUCCACUCCUAGAUAUAUACCCAAGAGAAAGGAAAACACAGUUGUCCACACAGAAAGUCACACACGAAUGUUCACAGCAGCCCGGUACGCAAGAUAGCUGGGCCGCAUGGCGGGAAGUGGGAGCAACACCUGUCCACAUGAUGGAAUAUGACGAGUGGGGCGCUGACACCUGCCACGACACGGAUGAACCUUGAAGACAUGAUGCCAAGUGCAAGGUGCCGGUCAUAAAAGACUGCCAAAUUCUCUGAUUCUACUUAUGUAAAAAGAACUGAAUAGGCAAAUGCAGAGAGACUGAAAGCAAACUUGUGGCUGCCCAGAGUUGAGGGAGGGGAGAGAGGGGAGUGGCUGCUAAUGGGUGCAAGGUCUCUUUCUGAGAUGAUGAAAGUGUUCUAAAAUCAGAUCAUAGUGAUCGUUGUGCAACUCUGUAAAUAUACCAAAAGCCGCUGCUGUAUGCUUUAAAUAAGUUCAUUUUACAUACUUGUAAACUAUCUCAAUAAAGCUCAGCAGGCGCCUGGGUGGCUCAGUCGGUUAAGGGUCUCCCUUUGGCUCAGGUCAUGAUCCCAGUGCCCUGGAUGGAGCCCCGCAUCCAUCGCAUCCAUCGGGCUCCCUGCUCCGCG